CCUACGGGAGACUGCAGUGAGGAAUAUUGGUCAAUGGGCGUAAGCCUGAACCAGCCAAGUCGCGUGAGGGAUGAAGGUUCUAUGGAUCGUAAACCUCUUUUAUAAGGGAAUAAAGUGUGGGACGUGGCCGAUUUUGUAUGUACCUUAUGAAUAAGGAUCGGCUAACUCCGUGCCAGCAGCCGCGGUAAUACGGAGGAUCCGAGCGUUAUCCGGAUUUAUUGGGUUUAAAGGGGGCGUAGGCGGCCUUUUAAGUCAGCGGUGAAAGUCUGUGGCUCAACCAUAGAAUUGCCGUUGAAACUGGGGGGCUUUCUUUUGUUUGAGGCAGGCGGCAUGCGUGGUGUAGCGGU
rnacentral:rRNA from 1 species